rnacentral:rRNA from 1 species
CACGUAGGGCGCAAGCGUUGUCCGGAAUUAUUGGGCGUAAAGAGCUCGUAGGCGGUCUGUUACGUCUGCUGUGAAAACCCAGGGCUUAACCCUGGGCUUGCAGUGGAUACGGGCAGACUAGAGGCAGGUAGGGGAGAAUGGAAUUCCCGGUGUAGCGGUGAAAUGCGCAGAUAUCGGGAGGAACACCGGUGGCGAAGGCGGGUCUCUGGGCCGUAACUGACGCUGAGGAGCGAAAGCAUGGGGAGCGAACAGG